rnacentral:rRNA from 1 species
AAGAGGUUUUUCAACUCCCCAAGGCUUGCUGGAAUCGGUCCCUCCAAGUUUCCAUAGUAUGCAUAAAGCCUGUUUAACUAUGAAAUAUUUCCUAGGGAUGGAGGUAUAAGGCCAUAUAAGCUAUUCUUGUACAAGCCUAGUUCAAUCAAGUUCUUUAGCUUACCAAUACUCUCGGGAAUCACUCCGGAUAUGGAAGUAUUCGCUAUCACAAGAAUACUCCCAGAGAUCCUAUUGUGUACUAAGUAUAAGUUCUUGAGAGAUGUCGAGAGGUUCACAAUUGAUCCAGGUAAUUUUCCUCCAAAAUAGUCACCUCCAAGGAGCAGUUUCUAUAGUUGUGUCUAGUUUGCCAUAGAAGUGAUAAAUUCCCACCCAUUGUUGUCAUUCGCUUCAAGCUCAUUGUCAGCCAAGUUUAGAUAUUGGAGAGCUCCUAGCCUUCCCAAAGAGGGAGGCACAUAGCCACUAAACCUAUUCUCCCGCAGGUAAAGAUCUACUAGGAACGAUAGAUUAGAUAUUGAGGAAGGGAUUGUUCCCGUGAAGUGA